UACAUGCCAUCGACGGCCAUC
rnacentral:piRNA from 1 species